rnacentral:rRNA from 1 species
UACGGGGGGGGCAAGCGUUGUUCGGAAUUACUGGGCGUAAAGGGCUCGUAGGCGGCCAACUAAGUCAGACGUGAAAUCCCUCAGCUUAACUGGGGAACUGCGUCUGAUACUGGAUGGCUUGGAUCCGGGAGAGGGAUGCGGAAUUCCAGGUGUAGCGGUGAAAUGCGUAGAUAUCUGGAGGAAUACCGGUGGCGAAGGCGGCAUCCUGGACCGACAUUGACGCUGAUGAGCGAAAGCUAGGGGAGCAAACGGG